GUAAGGAAUAUUGGUCAAUGGACGAAAGUCUGAACCAGCCAUGCCGCGUGAAGGAUGAAGGCCCUCUGGGUUGUAAACUUCUUUUAUCUGGGACGAAAAAAGGGUAUUCUUACUCACUUGACGGUACCAGAGGAAUAAGCACCGGCUAACUCCGUGCCAGCAGCCGCGGUAAUACGGAGGGUGCAAGCGUUAUCCGGAUUCACUGGGUUUAAAGGGUGCGUAGGUGGGUAUUUAAGUCAGUGGUGAAAUCUCCGAGCUUAACUCGGAAACUGCCAUUGGUACUAUUUAGCUUGCAUGCCCGGGAGGUAAGCGGAAUAUGUCAUGUAGCGGCGAAAUGCGUAGAUAUGACAUAGAACACCAAUUGCGAAGGCAGCUUACUACGGGGUGAUUGACACUGAGGCACGAAAGCGUGGGGAGCAAACAGGAUUAGAAACCCCAGUAGUCC
rnacentral:rRNA from 1 species